GUGUCAGCCGCCGCGGUAAGACGAACCGUGCGAACGUUAUUCGGAAUCACUGGGCUUAAAGCGCGUGUAGGCGGGCCGGCACGUCGAUCGCUGAAAUCCCCCGGCUCAACCGGGGAAGGGGCGUCGAUACGACCGGCCUGGAGGGACGUAGGGGGACCUGGAACUUCCGGUGGAGCGGUGAAAUGCGUUGAGAUCGGAAGGAACGCCCGUGGCGAAAGCGAGGUCCUGGACGUUUUCUGACGCUGAGACGCGAAAGCCAGGGGAGCGAACGGGAUUAGAAACCCCUGUAGUCC
rnacentral:rRNA from 1 species